rnacentral:ribozyme from 1 species
ACAAGGAAAGAUAAAAAAAGAGAAAAAAGAAAACGUCAAAACAAGAAGAUUGAUUGGGUGUUUAUC